AACGAACGCUGGCGGCAUGCCUAACACAUGCAAGUCGAACGAGAUCUUCGGGUCUAGUGGCGCACGGGUGCGUAACGCGUGGGAAUCUGCCCUUUGGUUCGGAAUAACAGUUGGAAACGACUGCUAAUACCGGAUGAUGACGAAAGUCCAAAGAUUUAUCGCCAGAGGAUGAGCCCGCGUAGGAUUAGCUAGUUGGUGUGGUAAAGGCGCACCAAGGCGACGAUCCUUAGCUGGUCUGAGAGGAUGAUCAGCCACACUGGGACUGAGACACGGCCCAGACUCCUACGGGAGGCAGCAGUGGGGAAUAUUGGACAAGGGGAGAAAGCCUGAUCCAGAAAUGCCGCGGGGGUGAUGAAGGCCUUGGGGUUGUAAAGCUCUUUUACCCGGGAUGAUAAUGACAGUACCGGGAGAAUAAGCUCCGGCUAACUCCGUGCCACCCGCCGCCGUAA
rnacentral:rRNA from 1 species